rnacentral:rRNA from 1 species
AUUGAACGCUGGCGGCAUGCCUUACACAUGCAAGUCGAACGGCAGCACGGGUGCUUGCACCUGGUGGCGAGUGGCGAACGGGUGAGUAAUGUAUCGGAACGUACCUUUCAGUGGGGGAUAACUAUCCGAAAGGAUAGCUAAUACCGCAUAUUCUGUGAGCAGGAAAGCAGGGGAUCGCAAGACCUUGCGCUGAUUGAGCGGCCGAUAUCAGAUUAGCUAGUUGGUGGGGUAAAGGCCUACCAAGGCUACGAUCUGUAGCGGGUCUGAGAGGAUGAUCCGCCACACUGGAACUGAGAGACGGUCCAGACUCAUGCGGGAGGCAGCAGUUGGGAAUUUUGGACACUGGGGGCUACCCUGAUCCAGCCAUGCCGCGUGAGUGAAGAAGGCCUUCGGGUUGUAAAGCUCUUUCGUCCGGGAAGAAAUCGCAUCAGCUAAUACCUGGUGUGGAUGACGGUACCGGAAUAAGAAGCACCGGCUAACUACGUGCCAGCCGCCGCCGUAACAC